rnacentral:rRNA from 1 species
CUCUGUGACUCCUACGGGAGGCAGCAGUGGGGAAUAUUGCACAAUGGGCGCAAGCCUGAUGCAGCCAUGCCGCGUGUGUGAAGAAGGCCUUCGGGUUGUAAAGCACUUUCAGUUGUGAGGAAGGUGGUGUCGUUAAUAGCGGCAUCAUUCGACGUUAGCAACAGAAGAAGCACCGGCUAACUCCGUGCCAGCAGCCGCGGUAAUACGGAGGGUGCGAGCGUUAAUCGGAAUUACUGGGCGUAAAGCGCAUGCAGGUGGUUUGUUAAGUCAGAUGUGAAAGCCCGGGGCUCAACCUCGGAACUGCAUUUGAAACUGGCAGACUAGAGUACUGUAGAGGGGGUAGAAUUUCAGGUGUAGCGGUGAAAUGCGUAGAGAUCUGAAGGAAUACCGGUGGCGAAGGCGGCCCCCUGGACAGAUACUGACACUCAGAUGCGAAAGCGUGGGGAGCAAACAGGAUUAGAUACCCUGGUAG